rnacentral:rRNA from 1 species
AGCUCCAAUAGCGUAUAUUAAAGUUGCUGCAGUUAAAAAGCUCGUAGUUGGAUCUCGGGGUACCUGGUCUAGCCGGUAUAGCUCACGCUAAAACUGGUCUGACCCCCCAACGUGAGGUAUUCGUCUCCGGGUGCACUUCAUUGGGUGCUCGUGAGGGGCCUCGUAGUUACUGUGAAAAAAUUAGAGUGUUCAAAGCAGGCUCAUAUGUUCGGAUAGUCGUGCAUGGAAUAACUGAAUACGUGACUGGCGCUUUUCAGUUGGUCUCGGCGACUGGUCAAAUGAUUAAGAGGGACUGCCGGGGGCAUUGGUAUGGCAAAAGCGAAAGCAUUUGCCAAGAAUGUCUUCA